UACGAAGGGGGCUAGCGUUGCUCGGAAUCACUGGGCGUAAAGCGCACGUAGGCGGCUUCUUAAGUCAGGGGUGAAAUCCUGGAGCUCAACUCCAGAACUGCCUUUGAUACUGGGAAGCUUGAGUUCGGGAGAGGUGAGUGGAACUGCGAGUGUAGAGGUGAAAUUCGUAGAUAUUCGCAAGAACACCAGUGGCGAAGGCGGCUCACUGGCCCGAUACUGACGCUGUGGUGCGAAAGCGUGGGGAGCAAACAGG
rnacentral:rRNA from 1 species